rnacentral:tRNA from 1 species
GCCGGAUUAGCUCAGUUGGUAGAGCAACUGAUUUGUAAUCAGUGGGUCGGGAGUUCAACUCUCUCAUCCGGCACCA